rnacentral:tRNA from 1 species
GUUUUAAUAGUUUAAGAUAAAACACUGAUCUUGUAAAUCAGAAAUAUGUACAACUUUUAAAACU